rnacentral:ncRNA from 1 species
UCAGUUAUGGUUCCUUGGAUCAUACCUUACUACUUUGAUAACUGUGGUGAUUCUAGAGUUAAUACAUGUAUCAAGAACUUCGAACCUCUGUGGACGAGCGCUUUUACCACACCAAAACCAAUGGAACCUCGUUUUCGUAUUAUGUAGUCAUUUUGUGAAACUUUAAGAUGAUCACACGGGCUCGUCCUGGUGACGUAUCUUUCGAGUGCUUGC